rnacentral:rRNA from 1 species
UACGAAGGGGGGCUAGCGUUGCUCGGAAUGACUGGGCGUAAAGGGCGCGUAGGCGGUUUGGACAGUCAGAUGUGAAAUUCCUGGGCUCAACCUGGGGGCUGCAUUUGAUACGUUCGGACUAGAGUGGGGAAGAGGGUCGUGGAAUUCCCAGUGUAGAGGUGAAAUUCGUAGAUAUUGGGAAGAACACCGGUGGCGAAGGCGGCGACCUGGUCCUUGACUGACGCUGAGCGCGAAAGCGUGGGGAGCAAACAGG